CCUUCGGCGGUGAUAGCGAGUGGAAGAGGCAGGAGUGACUGGAGCCCGGCGCUCGGGAGGCAAAGCUUGAUCCACCCCUGGGUUAAGGGAAACAGCAAAAGACCCUCCUGGUGGAUCCCCUCCUGUUCUAACCCCAGCUGGCUGGUCCACAUCUGCUGCAUAACCACCAGGGAGCACUCCUGCCUCCCAGAACUUGCUUUCGCCUAGAAGACUAAGCAAGAUCACGUAUAAAUUUGAAAUCUUGA